GGAUUAGAUACCCUGGUAGUCCACACCGUAAACGAUGUCUACUAGCUGUGUGUGUCUUUAAGAUGUGCGUAGCGAAGCAAACGCGAUAAGUAGACCGCCUGGGGAGUACGGUCGCAAGAUUAAAACUCAAAGGAAUUGACGGGGGCUCACACAAGCGGUGGAGCAUGUGGCUUAAUUCGAAACAACGCGAAGAACCUUACCCAGGUUUGACAUACAUGGAUGCAAUUUGGGGAUAACCCGAAACGCUGCUCUUCGGAGUGAAACAUGUACAGGUGCUGCAUGGCUGUCGUCAGCUCGUGUCG
rnacentral:rRNA from 1 species